ACCUACGGGGGGCAGCAGUAGGGAAUCUUCCACAAUGGACGAAAGUCUGAUGGAGCAACGCCGCGUGAGUGAAGAAGGGUUUCGGCUCGUAAAGCUCUGUUGGUAGUGAAGAAAGAUAGAGGGAGUAACUGGCCUUUAUUUGACGGUAAUUACUUAGAAAGGAAAGGCUAACUACGUGCCAGGAGCCGCGGUAAUACGAAGGGGGCAAGCGGUGUCCGGAGUUAUUGGGCGGAAAGAGAGGGCAGGCGGGUGAAAAA
rnacentral:rRNA from 1 species